rnacentral:misc_RNA from 1 species
UAGAGGAAGUAAAAGUCGUAACAAGGUUUCCGUAGGUGAACCUGCGGAAGGAUCAUUACCGAAUUCCAAGGAGGAAACAAGGCGGGAUUUCCAGUAUUUCCGGUAGUGCUGUUGCUGGCCUUCGGGCAUGUGCACGUCCUCCGGAGUUGUAAUGGUUGGUUCCCCUUGUUCCUCUAAUACCUCUUGAACACCUUUGUGCACCUCUUGUAGGUCUCGUCAGUGGGACCUAUGUAUUCUACAUUAAACUCGCAUGUAUACAGAAAGCUGUCUAGAAAUGAUAAUAUAAUAUAACUUUCAGCAACGGAUCUCUUGGCUCUCGCAUCGAUGAAGAACGCAGCGAAUCGCGAUAAGUAAUGUGAAUUGCAGAUUUUCCGUGAAUCAUCGAAUCUUUGAACGCACCUUGCGCUCCUCGGUAUUCCGAGGAGCAUGCCUGUUUGAGUGUCAUCGAAAUCUCAAAUCCUAGCUUUGCUUCGUCGGAGCUCGGUUUUGGACUUUGGGAGUCUGCGGGCGACCCUUUUGCCAAGGGACGUCGGCUCUCCUCAAAUGCAUUAGCGGUUGGGCGCGAGCCUUUGCACGGCACGGCCUGUUCGACGUCGUAGUGAUCGUCGCGGGCUGGAAGUGCUUGGGUCGACAUGUCUCAUGCUUCUAACUAUGCACAAGCUAUACUUAGCUAGUGAAUUAAGGCUUGACCUCAAAUCAGGUAGGACUACCCGCUGAACUUAAGCAUAUCAAUAAGCGGAGGAAAAGAAACUAACAAGGAUUCCCCUAGUAACUGCGAGUGAAGCGGGAAGAGCUCAAAUUUUGAAUCUGGCGGUCUCCGGCCGUCCGA